rnacentral:rRNA from 1 species
CCCUUAGAUGUUCUGGGCCGCACGCGCGCUACACUGUUCGACGCAGCGAGUCUUAACCUUGACCGAAAGGUUUGGGUAAUCUUCAGCAAAGUCGAACGUGAUGGGGAUCGAUCAUUGCAAUUAUUGAUCGUGAACGAGGAAUUCCUAGUAAGUGCAAGUCAUCAGCUUGCGCUGAUUACGUCCCUGCCCUUUGUACACACCGCCCGUCGCUACUACCGAUUGAAUGGUUUAGUGAGAUCUCUGGAUUGACGCUGGCUAGGGGGCGACCCUUGGCCAGACUGUUGUGAAACUGCUCAAACUUGAUCAUUUAGAGGAAGUAAAAGUCGUAACA